GUGUGUAGCAGCAAGAAAUGACCCUUUUGUGAAUUAAGCAACUGCAAUUUGGCGUUUUUAUAACCUAACGUAUCUUGACUGAUACAAAUGCUUAGAGCAACCUCUGAUAUUUAGUAAGGGCUUAUUCAGUGGCAGAAUAGAAAAGAAUGGGAUCUAGAGUAAUAAAAGGGAUUAGCCUUCUCUUUGUCAGUUAGGGAUGUCAAGAGAUUAUCUGUAGCACCCUCUGCUGUCAACAUGCCUGUCUUCCAUGACCAGCCUGUACCCCCCUCCCUCCACAUGUUUUUGUUUUUCCCAGACAGGGUCUCACUCUGUCACCCAGGCUGGAGUGCAAAUCGACCUCCUGGGUUCAAGCGAUCCUCCUGCCUCACUCUCCCUAGUAGCCGGGACUACAGGCAUGUACCACCAUGCCUAAUUUUUUAUUUUUUGUGGAGAUGGGACCUCACUAUUUUGCCUAGGCUGGUCUCAAACUCCUGGGCUCAAGCAAUUCUCCUGCCUCUACCUUCCAAAGUGCUGGGAUUAUAGGUGUGAGCCAUUGUGCCCAGCCACAUGGUUCUUCAAUACUCACCCCCACCCCAAACCCUCUGACACAUGCGUUUAGUCCUGGGGUGGGGCACCUGACUCAACCCAGGUUGAAGAUACUUUAGGAUAUUUUGAACCUGGGAGAUGUGAGGGUUGUCUCUUUAAAAUGGUGGAAAUUAUGAGAUAUUUGGGAACGGCACUACUGAUCCUCCUAAUUUAUUUUUAAUUUUUUUUUUAGGCCGAGGCGGGUGGAUCACCUGAGGUCAAGAGUUCGAGACUAGCCUGGCCAAUAUGGUGAAACCUUGUCUGUACUAAAACUACAAAAAUUAGCAGGGUGGGGUGGCAGGCGCCUGUAAUCCGAGCUACUCAGGAGACUGGGACUACAGGAAGAGGGUUUAACUCUGCAACAUAAUCAGUGCACAGAAACCUAAAUUGGAAAUCUCUUUCACUACAGACAAGACAGUUCAGAAGUGAAAAGUCACAGUAAAAUUGGGCAUUUCUUUCCAUAGACUUAACAGAAGCAACACCUGGAUUCCAGCAGCUGUACUGGUGUAACUGGCACUUGAACGUCUCCAUCCAAGUGCCCCUUUGUGGCAGAUGAAGAGUUCAGGUUUUGUUCCUCAUCAGCUUUGUGACCUUGGGCAAAGUCCUUGACCUAUCAGAGCCUCAAUUUCCCUAUCUGUGGAAAGACGACCAUGAAAAAAUAUGCACUAUGGGGUGGUUCUGGUGGGGAGAGUUAAAUUAGAUAUAAUUUAGAAAUUCUUAGCAUAAUAUUUGUAUCAUAUAUAUGUUUAUAUAUGUUAAUAUGUAACACAUAAUAGUAUAUAAGAAAGUCAUCUAUAUGAACUUCACACAGCAUAUUAUAUUAUAUAUACACACUACAUGGUGUAUAUGACAUAUACUAUCUAAUAUAUGAUAUGGUUUGGCUGUGUCCCCACCCAAAUCUUAUCUUGAAUUGUAAAUCCCACAAUUCCCACAUGUUGUGGGAGGAACCUAGUGGGAGAUAAUUGAAUCAUGGGAGUGGGUCUUUCCUGUGCUGUUUUUGUGAUAGUGAAUAAGUCUCAUGAGAUCUGAUGGUUAUAUACACGGGAAUUUCCCUGUACAAGCUCUCUUCUCUUGUCUGCUGCCAUGUGAGACAUGCCUUUCAUCUUCUGCCAUGCUUGUGAGGCCUUCCCAGCCACAGUUCCACGUGGCUGGGGAGUAAUAAACCUCUUUCUUUUGUAAAUUGCCCAGUCUCAGGUAUGUCUUUAUCAGCAGCAUGAAAACAGAUUAAUACAAUAUGUUAUAUAUAUAUUAUAUAGUAUGUAUCUAAUAUAGUAUAGUAUACUAAGUAUUAAAUAUUUUAUAAUAAAUAUAAUACUAUAGCAUAUAAACAUGAGUACAAUGAUAUAUGCUCUAACAUAUGUACUAUGUAACAUAAUGGCACAUACACAUAUUAUACCAUGUUUGUAUUUUAUAGUGUACAUAACAUAUACUAUAUAUCAUAUAGUAUUCUAUAGUAUAUAUGAUAUACAUACCAUAUAACACAAACUAUAAUAUAUGUACUAUAUACACUAUAUAUAAUAUAGUAUACUAUGUAAUAUAUGCUAUAUAUACAAGCAACUGUCCUCUAAACUAUAUCUUAUAUUAUAUAUUAUGUAAUAUACCAAUAUAAUAUAGUAGAGAUGAAAGUUUCUUGUGAAUUGAAAAGCCAUGAUUAAUAAAAGAUGUUAUUAUUCAUAUAGAGAUAUAGAUGACUGAUAAGGUUUGUGGUAUGACCCUGAGUCUCUUUUUUUCUAUCAUCUGCUUGAUUCACUACCUGACUCUUAAUUUUUCUUUCUUUCUUUUUUUUUUUUUUUGAGACGGAGUCUUGCUCUGUCACCCAGGCUGGACUGCAGUGGCGUGAUCUUGGCUCACUGCAAGUUCCGCCUCCUGGGUUCACGCCAUUCUCCGUCCUCAGCCUCCUGAGUAGCUGGAACUACAGGCACCUGCCACCAUGCCCGGCUAAUUUUUUGUAUUUUUAGUAGAGACAGAGUUUCACCAUGUUAGCCAGGAUGGUCUUCACCUCCUGACCUUGUGAUCCACCCG
rnacentral:lncRNA from 1 species